GACCUCGGAAAAAGAAUGGAGGCAAAGAUCGAGAAGAUGCAAUGUUUAACAAAGACCUAGAAGAAUGAAAGAACAAACAGAGAUGAACAAUACAAUAACUGAAGUGAAAACUACACUAGAAGGAAUCAAUAGCAGAAUAACUGAGGCGGAUAAGAUAAGAAUGGAUAAGUGACCUGGAAGACAGAAUGGUGGGAUUCACUGCUGCAGAACAGACUAAAGAAAAAAGAAUAAAAACAAAUGAAGACAGCCUAAGAGACCUUUGGGACAACAUUAAAUGCAACAACAUUCACAUUAUAGGGGUCCCAGAAGAAGAAGAGAGAGAAAAAGGACCAGAGAAAAUAUUUGAAGAGAUUACAGUCAAAAACUUCCUUAACAUGGGAAAGGAAAUAGCCACCCAAGUCCAGGAAGCACAGCAAGUCCCAUACAGGAUAAACCCAAGGAGAAACAUGCCGUGACACAUAGUAAUCAAACUGGCGAAAAUUAAAGACAAAGAAAAAUUAUUGAAAGCAGCAAGGGAAAAAUGACAAAUAACAUACAAGGGAACUCCCAUAAGGUUAACAGCUGAUUUCUCAGCAGAAAUUCUAGAAGCCUGAAGGGAGUGGCACGAUGUACUUAAAGUGAUGAAAGGGAAGAACCUACAACCAAGAUUACUCUACCCAGCAAGGAACUCAUUCAGAUUCGAUGGAGAAAUCAAAAGCUUUACAGACAAGCAAAAGCUAAGAGAAAUCAGCACCACCAAACCAACUCUACAACAAAUACUAAAGGCACUUCUCUAAGUGGGAAACACAAGAGAAGAAAAGAAUCUACAAAAACAAACUCAAAAAAAUUAAGAAAAUGGUUAUAGGAACAUACAUAUCGAUAAUUACCUUUAACAUGAAUGGAUUAAAUGCUCCAACCAAAAGUCACAGGCUUGCUGAAUGGAUACAAAAAGAAGACCCAUCUAUAUGCUGUCUACAAGAGACCCACUUUAGACCUAGGACACAUACAGACUGAAAGUAAGGGGAUGGAAAAAUAUAUUCCAUGCAAAUGGAAAUGAAGAGAAACCUGGAGUAGCUAUACUCAUAUCACAUAAAAUAGACUUUAAAAUGAAGAAUGUUAAAAGAGACAAGGAAGGACACAACAUAAUGAUCAAGGGAUCAAUCCAAGAAGAAGAUAUAACAAUUAUAAAUAUAUAUGCACCCAACAUAGGAGCACCUCAAUACAUAAGGCAACUGCUAACAGCUAUAAAACAGGACAUCAACAGUAACGAAAUGAUAGUGGGGGACUUUAACACCUCACUUACACCAAUGGACAGGUCAUCCAAAAUGAAAAUUCAUAAGAAAACAGAAGCUUUAAAUGACACAAUAGACCAGAUAGAUUUAAUUGGUAUUUAUAGGACAUUCCAUCCAAAAACAGGAGAUUACCCUUUCUUCUCAAGUGUGCAUGGAACAUUCUCCAGGAUAGAUCACACCUUGGGUCACAAAUCAAGCCUCAGUAAAUUUAAGAAAAUUGAAUUCAUAUCAAGCAUCUCUUCUGACCACAACGCUAUGAGAUUACAAAUGAAUUACAGGGAAAAAAACGUAAAACACACAAACACAUGGAGGCUAAACAAUAUGUUACUAAAUAACCAAGAGAUCACUGAAGAAAUCAGAGGAAAUCAAAAAAUACCUAGAGACUAAUGACAAUGAAAAUGAUGAUCCAAAACCUAUGGGAUACAGCAAAAGCAGUUCUAAGAGGGAAGUUUAUAGCUAUACAAGCCUCCCUCAAGAAACAAGAAAAAUCUCAAGUAAACAAUCUAACAUUACACCUAAAGGAACUAGAGAAAGAAGAGAAAACAAAACCCAAAGUUCACAGAAGGAAAGAAAUCAUAAAGAUCAGAGCAGAAAUAAAUGAAAUAGAAACAAAGAAAACAAUAGCAAAGAUCAAUAAAACUAAAAGCUGGUUCUUUGAGAAGAUAAACAAAGUUGAUAAACCUUUAGCCAGACUCAUCAAGAAAAAGAGGGAGAGGACUCAAGUCAAUAAGAUUAGAAAUGAAAAAGAAGAAGUUACAACAGUCACCGCAGAAAUACAAAGCAUCCUAAGAGACUACUACAAGCAACUCUAUGCCAAUAAAAUAGACAACCUGAAAGAAAUGGACAAAUUCUGAGAAAGGUAUAACCUUCCAAGACUGAACUGGGAAGAAACAGAAAAUAUGAAGAGACCAAUCACAAGUAAUGAAAUUGAAACUGUGAUUAAAAAUCUUCCAACAAACAAAAGUCCAGGAUCAGAUAGCUUCACAGGGGAAUUUUAUCAAACAUUUAAAGAAGAGCUAAUACCCAUCCUUCUCAAACUCUUACAAAAAAUUGCAGAGGAAGGAACACUCCCAAACUCAUUCUAUGAGGCCACCAUCACCCUGAUACCAAAACCAGACAAAGAUACUACAAAAAAAGAAAAUUACAGACCAACAUCACUGAUGAAUAUAGAUGCAAAAAUCCUCAACCAAAUACUAGCAAACAGAAUCCAACAACACAUUAAAUGGAACAUACACCAUGAUCAAGUGGGAUUUAUCCCAGGGAUGCAAGGAUUCUUCAAUAUUUGCAAAUCAAUGUGAUACACCAUAUUAAAAAUUGAAGAAUAAAAACCAUAUGAUCAUCUCAAUAGAUGCAGAAAAAGCUUUUGACAAAAUUCAACACCCAUUUAUGAUAAAAAUUCUCCGGAAAGUGGGCAUAGAGGGAACCUAUCUCAACAUAAUAAAGGCCACAUAUGACAAACCCACAGCAAACAUCAUUCUCAAUGGUGAAAAACUGAAAGCAUUUCCUCUUAAGAUCAGGAACAAGACAAGGAUGUCCACUCUCAUCAAUAUUAUUCAACAUAGUUUUGGAAGUCCAGCCAUGGCAAUCAGAGAAGAAAAAGAAAUAAAAGGAAUACAAAUUGGAAAAGAAUAAUUAAAACUGUCACUGUUUGCAGAUUACAUGAUACUAUACAUAAAGAAUCCUAAAAAUGCCACAAGAAAACUACUAGAGCUAAUUAAUGAAUGUAGUAAAGUUGGAGGAUACAGAAUUAAUGCACAGAAGUCUCUUGCAUUCCUAUACACUAAUGAUGAAAAAUCUGAAAGAGAAAUUAUGGAAACACUCCCAUUUACCACUGCAACAAAAAGAAUAAAAUACCUAGGAAUAAACCUACCUAGGGAAACAAAAGACCUGUAUGCAGAAACUAUAAGACACCAAUGAAAGAAAUUAAAGAUACCAACAGAUGGAGAGAAAUACCAUGAUCUUGGAUUGGAAGAAUCAACAUUGUGAAAAUGACUAUAGUACCCAAAGCAAUCUACAGGUUCAGUGCAAUCCCUGUCAAAUUACCAAUGGCAGUUUUUACGGAUCUAGAACAAAUCAUCUUAAAAUUUGUAUGGAGACACAAAAGACCCCGAAUAGCCAAAGCAGUCUUGAGGGGAAAAAAAUGGAGCUGGAGGAAUCAGACUCCCUGACUUCAUAGUAUACUACAAAGCUACAGUAAUCAAGACAAUAUGGUACUGGCACAAAAACAGAAACAUAGAUCAAUGGAACAAGAUAGAAAACCCAUGCACCAAUGUCAACUAAUCUAUGACAAAGGAGGCAAGGAUAUACAAUGGAGAAAAGACAGUCACUUCAAUAAGUGGUGCUGGGAAAACUGGACAGCUACAUGUGAAAGAAUGAAAUUAGAACACUCCCGAACACCAUACACAAAAAUAAACUCAAAAUGGAUUCAAGACCUAACUGUAAGACGGGACACUAUAAAACUCUUCGAGGAAAACAUAGAAAGAAAACUCUUUGAUAUAAAUCACAGCAAGAUCUUUUUGAUCUACCUUCUAGAGUAAUGGAAAUAAAAACAAAAAUAGACAAAUGGGACCUAAUGAAACUUAAAUGCUUUUGCACAGCAAAGGAAACCAUAAACAAAAUGAAAAGACAACUCUCAGAAUGGGAGAAAAUAUUUGCAAAUGAAUCAAUGGACAAAGGAUUAAUCUCCAAAAUAUAUAAACUGCUCAUGCAGGUCAAUAUUAAAGAAACAAAGAAACCAAUCCUAAAAUGGGCAGAAGACCUAAAUAUACAUUUCUCCAACGAAGACAUACAGAUGGCCAAGAAGCACAUGAAAAGCUGCUCAACAUCACUAUUUAUUAGAGAAAUGCAAAUCAAGACUACAAUGAGGUAUCACCUCACACAAGUUAGAAUGGGCAUCAUCAGAAAAUCUACAAACAACAAAUGCUGGAGAGGGUGUGGAGAAAAGGGAACCUUCUUGCACUGUUGGUGGGAAUGUAAAUUGAUACAGCCACUAUGGAGAACAGUAUGCAGGUUCCUUAAAGAACUAAAAAUAGAAUUACCAUGUGAUCCAGCAAUCCCACUACUGGGCAUAUACCCUGAGAAAACCAUAAUUCGAAAAGACGCAUGCACCCCAAUGUUCAUUGCAGCACUAUUUACAAUAGCCAGGUCAUGGAAGCAACCUAAGUGCCCAUCGGCAGAUGACUGGAUAAAGAAGUUGUGGUACAUAUAUACAAAGGAAUAUUACUCAGCCAUAAAAAAGAACAAAAUUGAGUCAUUUGUUGAGACAUGGAUGGAUCUAGAGACUGUCAUACAGAGUGAAGUCAGAAAGAGAAAAACAAAUAUCGUAUAUUAACGCAUGUAUGUGGUACCUAGAAAAAUGGUACAGAUGAACCGGUUUUCAGGGCAGAAGUUGAGACACAGAUGUAGAGAACAAACGUAUGGACACCAAGGGGGGAAAACCACGGUGGAGUGGCAAUUGUAGUGUGCUGAAUUGGACGAUUGGGAUUGACAAGUAUACACUGAUGUGUAUAAAACUGAUGGCUAAUAAGAACCUGUAGUAUAAAAAAACAAACAAAAAAACUAACACUAAGCUUUCUUUGGGUUAUUUGUAUAGAAAUAUGUUAAUAUAAAUGUUCUACACAUUACAUGAAAUUUCUAAAAAUCUUAUAUGUUUUGGUAUAAUGUUAUAAGUCAUAAUUCAAGUUAUUACUUUAAAAUGUAUAUCUCAGAAGUAACUACAUUUCCUUGUCAAUUGCAUUAUUAUGAACUUUCAUCAAAUCUUUAACCAUGGUCAUUUUUAAGUCUUUUGUCAUUUACAGACAGUUCUGGGUGUACUCUGACGCUUUCACAAAAAUGUUCCUAUAAAAGGGUUUCAUCUUUAAGGAAUUCAUGGAAAAGACUGACAAGUACAGGUUUCUGGUAACAGAAAUGAAUAUGCAUUUUCAGAACUCUAAUGGAAAACUGAUGAAUUCAUAAAAAUGCUAACAAAAGAUCAAGAUGAAAAAAAAUGAAUUACAUGGGACUGAGUGAACUGAUGAGGAUGAUUAUAAUUUUGGUGUCUUUCUGUUUGAAUAAAAAAAAAAAAUCCCACAAGGACUCAGAGGCAAAAAAUAUAGAAAUCAAUUUUCACUGCAAAGUAAAGGAGCUGUUACAGUGGAGGAUUACUGGACUGAAUGUCAAUAUCAUGACAUAGUAUGAGCAUGUUUUGCAUUUGGUAAUUGCAAUCAUUGUUGCUCUUGUUGUGGUCAUCCAUUUACAAUGCUUGGUGUCAGUUUAUUUAUCUCUAUGUGUGUGUGUGAGUUUUGGAAAAAAAAAAAGAGCUCAGGAGUUGUCACUUCCAUCCUCACAACAGAAUAAAAUCUGAGUAAACUAAAAAAUAAAAUAAAAUCAAAUACCAUCAAAAAGGAUAAAAUAUUUAGGCAUGACCUUAACAAAAUAAGCAUGAGACAUGUACAUAGAAAACUACAAAAUAUUGUUGGAAGAAAAUAAAGAAGACAUAAUAAAUGGGAAAAAAAUCCCAGGUUCAUUGAUCAGAAGGCCUCAUACUGUUAAGGUAACUAUACUUUCCAAAUGGAGCAACAGAUUCAAUGAAUCUGUGUCAAAAUUCCAGUUGCCUCUUUUUUUCAGUAAUUGACAAGCUGAUAUAAAAUUAAUUGAAAAUGCAAGGAAUCCAGGAUAAUCAAAAUAACCUUGAGAAGGAACAAAAUUUGGAGUACUCAACUUACCAUUCUUGAGUUCAAAAUUCACAUACAGCUAUGAUAAUCAAGACAUUGUGGCACUAGCAUAAGGCUAAACAUAUAGAUCGAUGGAAUAGAAUUUAGUUACCAAAUACGAAUCCUUACAUUUGGGCCAGUUGAUUUUACAGGUUUGCCAAGACAAUUCAAUGUGGAUUAUUUUUCUAACAAAUGUUGCUAGGACAAGUGGAUAUCCACACGCAAGUUGGACUCCAACCUCACACCAUAUACCAAUUGACUCAGAGUGGAACAUAGACUUAAAUAUAAAAGCUAAAACUUUAGAAUAAAACACAGGAGUAAAUUGUCAUGACCUUCAGUUAAACAAUGGUUUCUAGUUUAUAACACCAAAAGGACAGGUGACAGAAGAAAUAAAUUGAACUUCAUCAGCAUUUAAAACUUUUGUGAUUCAAAGCAUACUAUCAAGAAAGUGAAUAGACAACCCAAAGAAUGGGAUAAAAUAUUUGUAAAUUAUAAAGCUGAUAAGAGUGUCUUAUCCAGAAUAUAUAAAGGACUCUUACAACUCAAAAAUUAAAAAAUCAAAUAUUCCAAUUAAAAAUAGUUAAAUAAUUUGAAUAGAUAUUUCUCUAAAGAAGAUAUAUACAUAUAGUAAGCACAUAAAAAGAUGCUCAAAACCUUUGACCAUUAGGGAAAUGCAAACUUAUGCACAGUGAGGUAAACUUCACAAGUCUUAAAGGCAUUCAGCUAAAGGAAAGAAGAAGUUUGAAGAGACCAUAUAUUGUGUGAUUCCAUUUAUAUGACACUGGAAAAGGGGAAACUAUAGAGAUAGUAAGCAGAUUAGUGUUUACCAGGGGCUUGAGAAAGAGGAUGAUUAAAUAGGUGAAGUGGGGCUUCCCUGGUGGCACAGUGGUUGAGAGUCCGCCUGCUGAUGCAGGGCACACGGGUUCGCGCCCCAGUCCGGGAAGAUCCCACAUGCCGCGGAGCAGCUAGGCCCGUGAGCCAUGGCCGCUGAGCCUGCGCGUCCGGAGCCUGUGCUCUGCAACGGGAGAGGCCACAACAGUGAGAGGCCCGCGUACCGCAAGAAAAAAAAAAAAUUGGUGAAGUGAAAAUGUGUGUCGGGUGUAUGUAUAUUUCUGAAAUAUAUCUCUGUACUGUCUUCACAACUGUUUUAUAAAUCUAAAACUGUUCUAAAUUUUAAAAGUUUAUUUUUGAGAAGUCAUUCCUGAGCUUAAUAUAAAGAACAUUAGCAAUAUUGUAAUAUUCCCUGUAUGCAUAUCCCCAACUUCAUCCUCUUCCCUACCCACUGAAGGUGUUAUUUAUUAUUAUUUUGAAGUCUCUAUUCAUCAUUCCUUUAUUUCUUCUUAUUAUUUUUCUCUCUACAUUUCUAUUUCCAAAUAACAUACUGUUCAGCUUUGCUCAUCUUCAAACUUAGAUAAAUAUAAGUGUAUAAAUUAAUCCAUAUCACUAGCAUAAUCAUGAGAAAACAUGCGACAAAUCCACAUUUUGGAACAUUCUACAAAAUAUUUGACCAGUACUUUUCAAAAGGGUAAAGUGCAUGAAAAAUAAGUGAAGACUGAGAAAGUGUUGCAGAUUGGGAGAAUACCUGAGGUAGCGGGUAGACUCUAAGAUGGUACCCGAUGAUCCCCACUUCUUGGUAUACCACUUUGUGUUCUAAUCCCUGCUCAUGUGUGUGGGCAGGAACUGUGACUUUCCCACAUGGCAAGGAACUGAAUGCAACCUCUAGACAAUGGCCAGUAAGGAACAGAGGCCCUUGGUCCAACAGACUGCAGGUGCUACCCACUGGCUCCCUUGGGUCUCUGCCUUGCGGACUGCAGAUCUCAGGACUUUUCGGACUCCAUUAUCAUACCAAGAGAAAUGCAACAUGGAGAUUGCUCGGGACAUAUUUGCGGACUCCAAGAAUUAUUGGUGCCUGCUGCUGCUGUUGAAUAUUUGGUCUCAACUUUUAAAACAUUAAUUAGGACUCCAAUUAUAAUAUUGCCUGAUCCGUGUUAAAUAUAACUGAACUUAUUUUAAAAAGCAAACUAAAUUUAAGAAAAGUUACAAGAAAUAUAAUUUAGUAGCUCUUAAUAUAAAUAGCCUUUUUAAGAUUAGGUAACUGGUCCUGUGUAGAUUUAAAAAUGCAAGAGAGGGCACAUCUGGAGAUGAAGUUAUAUGUUAAUUUGUUCCCUCAUCUCAAGCUGCUUCCUCAAGUAUGUAAGGAUUUAAUUUAAUGUAGAUUAUUUGGACUUCUUUCCAGGCUUUGUUUUCUCAACCUGGGAGGUCAGUCCUGGAGGGGAUGAACAAUAGUAGUCAGUUAGGGAAUCUUUUUUUUUUUUUUAAAUAGGAAACUUCUGAGGUUGUAUUUUUAAUCCCACAUAAAGGGAUGUGUGUGUGUCUGUGUCUGGUGUGUGAAAUGUAAGCUCAAAUUUCUAGGAUAUACUUUUCUCUUAAAAUCAUACAGUAGGAUCUCCCGAGAAUAGGUUUGGGGGUAGAAAAAGGAAGAUUAUUUAUUUAUUGAAAGUUUCUUAAACAAAAUCCAGUUUCCAUUUUCAAUUAGUUCAACAUAUUAAAAAUACAUUUUACAUAUACUUGUGUGUAUGUGAAUACCUAUUUUAUAUAUAUAUAUAAACAUAUAAAUAUAUAUUAUAUACAUAUUUAUGUUAAUAAAUGUUAUAUUUAUAUAUAAUAUUUAUAUAAUAUAUAAAUAUAUAUAUAUAUUUUACAUUGACUGUAUGCCACCUGUGCACCUUUCUAAACUCAGUUCUAUGUGAAGGUCACUGAGAGUGCACAGGCUCUUCAUGUAGCCUGUGGCACUAUAAAGUGUAGCAGAUAAUGAGCUAAAAACAUAUUUGGCUGUGAUUAUGAAAGGUCAGAGCAUGCUUGCUGAAGGGUCACUAAGUGGAAUUCGUUCUGAAAUAAAAGCAGAGUCUUCGUGGUACUAAAAACAGCCAGAUGAAAAGUGAAAAUCAAGUCAAUCUGCAAAGUCAUCUGACAAUGUUUUACAGUCAUAGUGUUGUUUAUCCAAAGUUCACACACACACAUCAUAGGAAGAGGCACUUCUCAAGCAUACAAAAAUUUUCAUGAUCGUCUAGGUUUUUAAACGGUUUAGAGGAAAAAAUACACACAUUUUAUUGUAAGAAUCAAACAAACAAUUUAGUAGUAACCGAAGAACAAUGAUUAGAGGGGAGAUGGAAUUAUGGGUUUUCUUUCAACAGUGUAAUUUAUUUUCAGUGAGGAAUUGGUGAUUUCAACCUCUUUCCAAGAUAUUCCUUAUUUACUCCUCCCUAACCUCCCAGAAGGCUAUAGCCCUAGUAAACAGAAGAGUUGUCAGGAGGGACUGUUGUGUUGGUGGGAAAGAAAACAAUUUUAACAGUAACUUCUCACUUUUAAUGCACCAAAUAUAAUUAUGUAUUAAGGAAAUACAGGUUAAAGGCUAUGUCAAGCUGCCAUGCUUGACAUCAUGAGAGAGCAUGGAUAAGGGUGUAGGCAUCUCCUCAAUUACAAGUAGCCUGCAUUCUAGGAGUCAAGCUUCCCAGUAAUGGACCACACCCACUGGUGUGACUUGAUAGGGAUACACAGGGGCUUGGAGAUGCUGAGUCUCUCUGCACUGGGGCGGCCAAGUAAGCCCUGCAGUAGACAAGACCUACGGCCAAUAACCUCCAGCUGUAAGCAGUCUUACUUUGAUUUCCUUGGAGAUCAUCAUAAGCUGGGUGGCACUUCUGAUGGUCCAGCAACCUACUGAAUAAUACUGAAGAAGUUCUCUACCAACCAGACAUCUGGCUCUGAAGCCAGCAAGGGUUUGUAGGCUGCUGCUAGAAGAUUUUAUUCUCCAGGUUUUUCAUAAAUGCCCGUUAUUAGACUGAAGGAGUUUUAUUCUUUUCCUAGCAUUUCAAGGGGUUUCAUCAUAAAUGAACAUUUAACUUUGUCAUAUGCUUUUUCUGCAUCUAUUUAGAAAAUCAUAAAAUUUUCCUUAUUCUGUUAAUAUAUUAAUAUAAUAUUAACAUGCUGUUGAUUUUCAAAUGUUGAACUUGCAUUUUCUGGAUAAACCCCACUUGGUCAUGAUGUAUUAUUCUUUUUAUACAUUGUUUGCCUCUCUGCUAAAAUUUGGUUUAGAAUUUCUGCUUCUAUAUUCAUGACGGAUAUUGAUGUACAGCUUUUAUGUCUUGAAAUAUCUUUAUCUGUUUUUGGUAUCAGGGUAAUGUGGUCCCAAAAAAAUGAGUUGAAAGUAUCCACUCUUCUUCAAUUUUCCAAAAGAAUUAGAGUACAAUUUAUGUUAUUUCUUCUUUAAAUGUUUGGUAGAAUUCUGCAGUGAAGACCUCUGGGCCUGGCAUUUUCUUUGUGAGAAGAUUUUAAACUACAGUUCAAUUAGGGCUACUGAGGUUAGUUUUUUUUCUUGGGUAAAUUUUGGUAGUCGAUAGUUUGUGUCUUUAAGGAAUUUGACAAUUUCAUAUAAGUUUUAAUAUUUAUUAGCAUAAAGUUGUCCAUAAAUAUUUCUUAUUUUCCUCUCAAAGUCUGUAGAGUUUCCUCUUUUUCCUGAUAUUGGUGAUUUGAGUCUACUUUUUAUUUUCCUGAUCAGUGUGACUAGAGGUUUAUCAAUUCAAUUGACUGUCUUAAGGAUUGAUAUUUUGGUUUUAUUGACUUUAUUGUUUUGCUUUAUAUCUGCUCUUAUCUUUAAAAUUAUCUAUAAUUAUUGUUUAAUUUUAUAUCUUAUCUUUAUUAUUACUUAUUAUAUUUCUAUCAUUAUUACUUGUCAUUUCUCCUACUUUUGUUGCAUCUAAUUUGCUCGUUUUUUUCUUUCAGUUUUAUUGAUAUAUAAUUGACAUAUAGCACUGUGUAAUUUUAAGGUAUACAGAUAAUAAUUUGACUUACACACAUCAUAAAAUGAUUAUCACAAUAAUCCAUCAUCUCAUAUAGAUAUAAAAUUAAUGAAAUAGAAAAAAAUCUUUUCUAGUGAUGAGAACUCUUAGGAUUUACUCUCUUAACACUUUUCAUAUAUAACACAGAGCAGUAUUAAUUAUAUUUAUCAUGUUUUAUAUUACAUACCUAGUACUUAUUUAUCUUAUACCUGGAAGUUUAUACCUUUGACUGCCAGGGGAUCCUGGGCUGGUGCCUACCCACUAGUGGGUAAGGCUGGUCCCAGGGUUAGUGCAGCCCACUGGUAGAUGGAGCCAGGUCCCAGAGUCUCUGGCUGUAGGGUCCUGGGGGUCCCACGGAUAGGGCUGGUGUACUGAUGUGCAGGGCUGGGUCCUGGGUCCUCCAUUUUUUUUAGAUUUUUUUAAGUGAAAGUUAAGGUCAUUGAUUUGAAGCCUUUUACCUUUUCUAAUAUGUGUAUAAUUAAUAUAAAAUAUUUACAAUUUUCUAAGCACUGUUUAAGCUGCACUCCACAAAUUUUGAUAUACUGUGCUUUCAUUUUCAUUCAAUUUGACAUACUUUUUUUUAACAUCUUUAUUGGAGUAUAAUUGCUUUACAAUGGUGUGUUUCUGCUGUAUAACUAAUUUGACAUACUUUCUAAUUUCUUUUGUGAUUUCUUCAUUGACCCAUGUAUUAUUUAGAGGUAAGUUAUUUAGUUUUUGAAUAUUUACGGAUUUUCCAGAUAUCACUCUGUUGUUGAUUACUAAUUUCAUUUUGUUCAAAGAACAUAUUUAAAUUAUUUAAAAUUUAUUGAGACCUGUAUUAUGGCCCAGAAAGUUAUGUCUUCAUAAAUAUUCCAUUUUCACUUGAAAAGAUUUCUUGCUGUUUUAUGGGGGGGGUCCUAUAAAUGUCAAUUAUGUCAAGUUGUUUACAUUGUUGUUCAAAUCUUCUGUAUCCCUAGUGAUGUUCUGUCUACUUGUUCCAUCAAUUAUUGAAAGACGAGUGUUGAAAUAUCUGAUCACAAUUGUGAAUUUGUCCAUUUUACUUUUCAGUUCUAUCAGGUUUUGCUUCAUGUAUUUAAAAGCUCUGUUAUUAUGUGCACAAAUACUUAGCUUUGUUAUGAAUUUUUUAUGAAUUAACUCCUUUAUUAUCAAAAAAUAACUGUCUUUAUCCCAUGUAAUACUCUUUGCUCUGAAAUCUAUAUUUUUCAUAAGAAUAUAGCCAUUCCAGCUUUCUAUUGAUUUGUGUAAGCUUGGAAUUUCUUUUUCCAAACGUUUACUUUUAACAUAUUUGUAUAUUUUAUUUUAAAUGAAUAUUUUAUAUAUAGCAUAAUGUCAGCUUUUGAAAAAAUCCAAUAGGACAAUAUUUGCCUUUUAAUUGGUGGUGUUAGAACAUUUAUGACAGGAUACCUUCAAGUAAUAUCAUUCUAUUUCAUGUAUAUCAUAAGGCCUUUACAACAGAAUUCUUCUUUUUCCCCUCCCUCAGUCUUUGUUUCUUUGUUUUCAUAUAUUUUACUUCUAUAUACAUUAUUUUUUUGUUUGUUUGGUUUUGGUUUUUUUUGCGGUACGCGGGCCUCUCACUGUUGUGGCCUCUCCCGUUGCAGAGCACAGGCUCUGGACGCGCAGGCUCAGCGGCCAUGGCUCACAGGCCCAGCCGCUCCGCGGCAUCUGGGAUUUUCCCAGACCAGGGCACGAACCCGUGUCCCCUGCAUCGGCAGGCGGACUCUCAACCACUGCGCCACCAGGGAAGCCCAUUCUAUAUACAUUAUUAACUCUAUUUUGUAGUGAAGACGUCUGGGUCUGGCACUUUCCUUAUAAAAAGAUUUUUAACUAAAAAUUCAAUGAGUACUACAAAGAAAAUGAAAAGGCAAGUCACAAACUGGGAGACAAUAUUGUCAAAACACAUACCCAGCAAAUGACUUAUAUCCAGAAUAUAUAUAGAUCUCGUAUACCUCGAUAAUAAGCAAACCAAGAGUCCAAUAAAAAUGAGCACAGCAUUUGAACUGAAACUUCAGCAAAGAAGAUAUAUGAAUGCCAAAUAAAUACAAGAAAAUAUUCUCAAUACAAUUGAGGAAAUGCAAAUUAAAACUACAAAGAAAAAAUAUUACACACCUAUUAGAAUAAUUACAAUUAAAAAGACUUACCAUACCAGAUAUUAGGUAGGAUGUGUGAAGGAACUUGAACUCUCAUACACUGCUGGUAGAAGUGUAAAACGGUACAACCAACUGUCAGUUUAAGCAUACACCUACCAUAUGAUUUAGCCAUUUCUCCAUAAUUAUGCUCAGUGAAAGAGUAUGAUUUCACAUAGAAAAUUCUAGAAAAUGCAAACUAAUCUAUAGUGACAGACAACAAGUCAGUGGUAAUCUGAGGACAUAGUGGAAGGAAAGACAGGGAUGGAGUAUAAAGGCAUAUGAACAGGGUUUGUAUGUGAUUGAUAUGCUCAUUUUCUUGAUGGGGUGAUGGCUUCAUUGGUAUAUACAUAUAUAUA